GCGUCUGUAGCUCAGCUGGACAGAGCACUGGACUUCGGAUCCAGGUGUCGGGGGUUCGAAUCCUCCCAGGCGCA